GGCUAUCUUGCAUGGAAAUUUAAGGAGAACAUCGUGGAAGUUUCAGAAUCUGUUUUUGGCAUGUCGUUCGAGUUUGGCAGCGUUCCGAGGUCGUUCGAAAGGGAAAAGCUCCAGCACAGUGAUUUGAAGCUCGCGUGUUUAGCCUACAGGACCGAGUACCAUCUACUGUCACGAAUAGAUCGAGCUUGUUGCAGUCAGAUUCGGAGACUAGGGUGAUAACUU